AAAAAAUUAUUUUAAGCCAGGCAUAGUGGCUCAUGCCUGUAAUCCCAGCACUUUGGGAGGCCGAGGUGGGUGGAUCACUUGAGCUCGGGAGUUUGAGACCAGCCUGGGCAACAUGGUGAAACCUUGUCUCUACAAAAAAUGCAAAAAUUAGCCAGGCGUGGUAGCAUGCACCUAUAGUCUCAGCUGCUUAGGAGACUGAGGUGGAAGGAUCACUUGAGCCUGGGAAGUCGAGACUAUAUACUAAAAAUACAAAAAUUAGCUGGGCUUGGUGGUGAGUGCCUGUAAUCCCAGCUACUCGGGAGGCUGAGGCAGGAGAAUCGCUUGAACCCGGGAGGUGGAGGUUGCAGUGAGCCGCGAUCACGCCAUUGCACUCCAGUAUGGGCGACAGAGCAAGAAUCCAUCUCAAAAAAAAAAAAAAAGAAAAAAGAA
rnacentral:lncRNA from 1 species